AGUUUUGGUCCUAAACUUACUGCUACUUUUAAUCAAAUUUACACAUGCAAGCAUCCACACACCAGUGAAAUACGCCCUAACACAGUAUAAAUGGAGCAGGUAUCAGGCACAACCGCCAGCCAAAAACACCAAGCUUUGCCACACCCACACGGGCCCUCAGCAGUGAUAAACAUUAAGCAAUAAGCGAACACACCAAACUAAAGCUUGACUUAGUUAUGAUUAACAGGGCCGGUAAACCUCGUGCCAGCCACCGCGGUUACACGGCGGGCCCAAAGCAGCAGACUCUCGGCGUAAAUAGUGGCCAGAAUAAUUACCCCCACAUUAAAAACUAAACCAUACCCUAACCGUAAAACACAGGCUAAAUGAAAUCAAGCACUUUUAAUAACAGGUAAUUUGACCCACGAAAACUAAGAAACAAACUAGGAUUAGAUACCCUACUAUGCUUAGUCGUUAAUAUGAUAUUAUAGUACUAAAAUAUCCGCCAGAAAACUACGAGCGAAAAGCUUAAAACUCAAAGGACUUGGCGGUGCUCCAUACCGACUUAGAGGAGCCUGUCCUAUAAUCGAUACCCCACGCUAAACCCCACCAAUCUUUGCCAUACCAGCCUAUAUACCGCC
rnacentral:rRNA from 1 species